ACCAAAAUCCCCAUUUGAAGGUAUUUAUUGUCCCAUUAUGCCUCAUUGAUAUCAAUCUCCAUGGUUUCUGAAACGCUCAAUCACAUGUUCAGGUAUAUAAACUUCUACAAUUGUAGUCAUCCAUUUCUACCGGAAGUACAACACCUCCACGAAAAGUUGGUUGGCAUGAAUCUCUUUUCUAUUCCGUUUUUAAUUUUCUUUGUUCACCCUAAUCUCUCAAGAUUGCUCGAUCAUGGCUUCUGCAUUCAUGCUUGCAGCAGGCGAUCAAGUUGUUUUAGAUACCCUCCCCUAAUUUCUCCAUGUCUCUUUCAAUUGCAUUUGAGCCCUACGUUCAUAUUCCUCACGUUGUUUGCUUCCCACACUCUUCUUGCUAUAUUUGUAAGUUGAUUUCAGCAUUGCACAAGCAGUAAAGCUGUACGCUGGAGUUGUAUGUAAGGUGUUUGGAAAGAAUCCCGAAAUGAUUUUUUUAUUUUUAUUUUGUUUUUUGGUUAUUUUCUGCUGGACAGGGUGAUAGCUGCAGCUGCUAGAUGGCAAGAAGAGAAAUAAAGCUUACCCAAAUACCAUGAAGCCAAUGUUUAUCGCAAGUUGAAUCAGCUACAAACGAGAAGUGGGCUGAGGUUGAUUCCAAAUUGCCACGGCAAAAACUGAAGGUACUACCUCUGAUAUGCUGCUCCUCGACAAAAAUGUAAGUUUCGAACCGUGAUUAGAAAAUACUCUUAUUAUCAAAUUCUAACUCAAUCAUGCCCGUAUAUCAGUAGGAUAAUUACUUGCAGUGAUACCAAAGAAAUGCAUGAAAUUUCAACUGUACAUAAAGCGCACCAUGUAAACCUCGCUACAUCAUUGAGUUCAUCUUUGAAUGCUAAGGAAAGCCACUGUUUAAUGUCAUCUCUCAAUGAUGGAAUAAUUUGGUUACGAUGUAUUAGGCCAGUUGUAUUUUAUGGACCAAUAUUUAAUGUAACUACUGACAAACAAACAAUGAACACCAUGCAUUUUUCAAGUGGUACACGGAUUUGAAAUCUCAGUAAGAAGACUAUGUAUGGAUCCCUGCGCAGAAGUUCCACUACAUAGAAUCUUAAGACUUGCAGUGUGAAGGUAUUGCAUAUUAUUGUGUUCGUCUUUUUAAGGGUUUGUUUAGGUGAGUUUGAAUGGUUGUAGGUAUUGUAUCUCCGUGAUAUUGGGUAAAUACCGUAAAUAAUGAAUUGGUCAUAACUAUCAAGGAUUUGUGUUUUGAUGAUGCAGUGAGAAGUUUUGUUUUUGGGUAUGUUUAGUUUUUUGAUUGGUGUAGACUCCAUUAUCGAUGAUUGCAGCCAUGCAUGGAGAAGUUUUCUUAGUUCCUAACUGCACAACUUUGUGGUAAUUAUAUUGUUCUCUUUAUUUCGAAUUGCGGUGGCACAUAUUUUUGGAGUGGUGGCAUAUCUGAAAAAAUUAUAUACAUAACAAUUUAGACAUCACUUACCUUGCAUCCAAUUUACAUUUUAUGAUGAAGAAUUUUAUAGGUUUUCCUGUAGAUGUAAUCUUAGCCAUCAUGGCAAUGGUAAAGAUCUUGAUUCUUUAGUCGUGUGGCAAAUGCAUACUGGAUGCAAGAUCGGUUGGGGAUAUAUGUACCGGAGGCCUGGAUAUUUAUAUUGCUUUAAGAUAUUUAUCAAGUAUUCCCUAAUUUGUUAGUAGAGGAUCUUAACAUGUUAAUUAGUAUACAGGAAACAUCUUAUCUACUAAUUUCUAUUCGAUUUUGUUUGAUACUGUUUUUAAAUUUGUUCACAUAUUCCAGGUACCACUUUCUGCUGGGUGGGGAAGUAUUUUCUUAUGGAUAGCCUGUAGAGGAACAAUUUCUCAAAUUGCAAGUAUUUUCUUGGUUGAGGUAAAAUCAGGCUGAUAUCUGUAGACUCGAUGUCCAUUUAAACCUUUAACUCUUAUUUAUGAUUGAAUGUUGCUCUGUUAUCUCCGUGUCUAAAGUUAUUUUCAUCAAA